GCCGUUAUCCAACUCCUCCCCAUUCUCCGCGUCCGACUCCAUCGCCCCCAACCCCGGCUCCGCGGCCGCGCCGUUUACAUCGGUCUCCUAGGAACAAGAACAGCCUCUGCCAUUGGCUAUUGCGGUGCUUCCCCGCACGCCGGCCUUCGAACAUGCAGCUGAUUGGUUGCCGCCGGCAGUAAGAGUUUAGCCAAUGAGUGACAGGUUGGCAUUUAAAGGGCCAGUGCAGUAUUGAGAGAGGGAGGCGGAGGCUGUUGGGGUUUUCUACUGUGGGGCUUAGAGCCCUGGGUCUUUGUCCUUUAUUCCCUGCCUGGCACUUGAUCCCAACAUCUGCCCUCUUCUCUACCAGCCACUCCUAUGGGGGCAGGGUAGCUUUGCAUAGCAGCAGAGCUGAGAAAUAAGGAGCUGAUAGUGUGGACAAAACAGAACCAGUUUGGGUCAAAAUCACUUUUGAUUGUAAAAGAGGGUCGGUGGGGAUGGAGGUCUGCCAUAGACCCCCAGGAUCCCACUUGGGUAUAGCUAGAGAAUGCGAUAAUAAUAUUAGAGCAAUGAAUACUAGGGGAAUUGUGACAUAAUGGGAGACUUUAACUUCACAGCACAUUAUAGUGGUAGGGCCCUGUGAUUGCUGGAUGGGAUAAGUUUUCUUCAAAUCCUCACCAAAUCAAUGAGAAAUGAUGCAAGUUAGACCUGGUGUUGGGCAGCCUUUGGGAAACCAAGGGAAUUAAUUAAAAGAUAUCAACCAUGAUGAAGAGCUCAAGAAAAUAAAUACAUAGGAGGCUUGGAAUGUCUUCAAAUCAACUAUACAAAAAUGGAAAUUUGCAACCCAAGCAAGGAAAAAAACUUGUUGGGGAAAGGCACGAGAUCCAACUGGAUGAAUAACCACCUCAAAAAGGCCUGCUUUGCCUUAUAUUUGUGUCAGGUGGACUCACCAUAACCAUGCAUUAAACAAGUUCCAGGAGUUCAUCAAGGAGCUGGCCCAGGUGCAGCAACCGCUC